rnacentral:lncRNA from 1 species
UCCAUCAAGGUAUUAGAAAGGAUGCAACCUUAAAUAGAACUUGACUUUUUGUAGAAAUCCUCAAAAUUUUGAUCCUCAUCCAUUAAACUUCUCAAAUAUAUUAAUCCUUAUUUCUAUCAUACUUAUAUAAGCAAAACUUCUUAAAUUUGGUUGUGAGGUCAAUCUACUUGCUUCUUUCAACUGCACAACUUCUUGCUGCAGAUUCUGAAUUUUUUUUGGUAUAGGAAUAAUACCUCCAUAAUUUAUAUUGAAAGUAUGUAAGAUAUCUAUUUUUAGAAUAUUAAUAAGCUCAUAAAGAUCUAUAAUAAUUUCAAAUCUAUUCUCACUUCCAUUGAGAGUAGUAUCUAUAAUCUUUCAUUUGAUAGAAAACUCAAACAAAUUCAAUUUAAAUUAAAAGAGGAUAAUUUGUAACCUUUGAUA